GGAUUGUGGCUUAGCGGUAGAGAGCUUGCCUUGCACAUGAGAGGCCCUGGGUUCGAUCCUCAGCACCA
rnacentral:tRNA from 1 species